GGUGGUGGUUUCCAUGAGAAUGUGGAAGGAGAUGUAAGAAGGCAUCUCCGCUUAAAGUCCCCACAGCCAAUGCCACAAGAAAACUCAGAAGAAAUUUGAAAAACACACGAUUCAUCAAAGGUACCAGUAUGACCCCCAGUAAAGAAAGGAAACUGAUGACUGAGAUGGAUAUAAAGCCACCAAUCCACGCUAUUUGCAGAGAAUAACCUUUUGGAGGAGUUUCAGCUUUUUCGCUACUCGCAUGGACUAUGCAGUACUUCCCAUCAAUCUGAUUAAUAAGAGCUGG
rnacentral:lncRNA from 1 species